rnacentral:rRNA from 1 species
UACGGAGGAUGCGAGCGUUAUCCGGAUUUAUUGGGUUUAAAGGGUGCGUAGGCGGCCGAGUAAGUCAGCGGUGAAAUUUUGCAGCUUAACUGUAACAGUGCCGUUGAUACUGCAUGGCUAGGAUUUGGUUGCUGUGGGUGGAAUGUGUGGUGUAGCGGUGAAAUGCUUAGAUAUCACACAGAAUAUCAAUUGCGAAGGCAGCUCACAAAGCCAAGAUUGACGCUGAGGCACGAAAGUGUGGGGAUCAAA